AGCCGUGCGAGUUAGGGUGGGCUGGGUCCAACCCGGCCCACUGGCCACCUCUGAGUACACGUAAUACUAGUAUCCUAUUAUCUUAGAGUAGUACACUAAUUAUCUUAGACUACACUUCUUAACAAAAAAAAAAAAAAAAAUUAGAGUAGAGUAGUAGCACUGCAGCAUAGCAGUUUCGUCUUCCUCCUCCAAAAACCCAAACCCUUGAACUUCUAUGGUUUCCCUCCCAAGUUUUUCACCACCUAAUUAGAGGCGAUCGUUUUUAAGAUUGUGUCCAUCAUCAUCUACUUUGUAAGGCCGCCACCGUCGUCUAGUUUACAAGGCCGCCACCAUCUGAAGCGUACUCGGGUCACGACUAUCAACCACUCUAUUUCAAGCGAUUGUACAAAGUAUGCAUUGGAGGUUAGCUGUGUUAUUAGUCCUUGGAAUGGACUAGUGUGCUGGUUAGAUCUGGCCGGGGAAGAAAACGAGAUCAAUGAGUUUGCUAAAAAGAUCAUAAAUGAGGGAUUAAAAAAAUUCAGCAUGGUCCAUCGAAAGGACAUUAAGAAGAUAAAAAAGGAUCCAUAUAUUGAGUGGAAGCAACCUAAGUGUCCUCGACAACCUCAAUACUCCAAAGUUUGUGGAUACUAUGUUUGUCGCUAUACGCUUGAGAUUAUAAAGAAAAGUGUAUUGUGGGUUUCUGAUAAGCGGACCCUGUACGUAUUCAACUGAAAAUAUUGACGAAAUUAGAGACUUGUGGGCUAAGUAUGUUCUAGAGCUUGAACAAGAAGAUGUUAAUGAAGGAAAUGAAGAUGGUAUAGACAUUGAGUGAGUUUAUUUUGUCCAUUACUUUUGGGAAAAGUAUUGCGAUUUUUAGAAUUUUUUGUAUAGUACUUUUGGAGCUUAUCUUAGAUAGUAUGGAAAUUAAAUGAGUGGUUUAAAUUUUUGGGGAAUACUGGAUUUUUUUUCUGCAGAUGUUGUUGUAUAGUAUUUUUGGAGGUUAUACUAUAAUUAUUGAAUAUUUGUAAAAGUGUUUAUCAACUUUUGUUUAUUAUUGUAUGUUCCAUGAAUAUUAUAAAAUUAUGGAGUAAUGUAUAUGAUGUGCAUAUAUAUAGCAGGUGAAAAAUAUAGGUAAAAAUAUCCUAUAGGUGUCAUACAGGAACAAAUACAACUCAUAUACCGUACACGAACAAAUACAAAUAUAAUUGGAUUUUGGGAAA